GUUAAAGGCACGUGCUUUGCACGUGUGCGUUCUUAAUUAAAAACAUCAUACAUGAAGAAAAUUUUAAAUACAGACGAUGCACUUUGACAAACCUCUUGCCAACUUACAAUGUCCGUGGACAAAUUUGAUUUUCUUAUAUUUUCAAAACAUGCAUAGAGUAAUUUUGGUUAACACUUACUCCAUCUGUAAAUUAAUAUAAGAGUGUUUAGAUCACUAAAGUAGUGAUCUAAAUGCUCUUAAAUUAGUUUACGGAGGGAGUACUUGACAAACUUACAAUUUCCCGCAAAAAAAAGAGAGAGACAAACUUGAAGUAAACAUUCUCAAAACAGUAAGUUACAUCAUGGGAUUAAAGUUUGUUCAAGAAAUAAUCAUCUCCGCGCAUUCUACAUCACUUGGAUGUACAUGGAAUGUAAUGCAUUCUACCUUGCAUAAUAUUUAUUGUCAACAAAAAAAUGGAUAUGUGUCGGUCCAUAUAUACUUUUUUAGUAGUCUAUAUCAGUCCAUAUACAGUCCUAAAAUUCAUGGGGAAAACGUGAGAAUAGCCUCUUCCACUUGACCUUCUGUUUUUCCCCAAAUUUUUAUUUGUUUCUAUAUUUUUUAUUUUUAACAAAUUUGUUUUUUAUUUGAGGGGAGAUCGUUGGACCUUCUGCAGGCUAAAAUAUGGAUUUGGGCUGACAUUCGGCCAGACGGGCCUUGAAGCCUGCCACUGGGCUAGCUGUAUGGAGCCCCACUCAAAAACGCGAACCAGGUCCUCCUGCCUCUGGCUGUCGAGCGGAGUUCUAUAAAAUGAAAGACCGUCGUUGUCUCAAAAAAAAAAGACUGUCGAGCGGAGCGCCGCCGCGCUGCCGCACCUUCUCCCGUCCCCGCCGACCCGCCGAACGCCGACCCUAGGACUCCCACGCCGCUGGCGCAGCGCACGACCCGGCCAUUGAAUAUCGUGCUGGACUCGCCCAGUCGUCAUCAGCAGGCACAGCGGCUCCUGAAUUCAGCAGCCACGGCCGCACACAACACACGCCGGUAGGCGGCACACUUCAUGCCUCCGAGCGAUGGCGCACGUGAGUAGCACCGACCGUAGCAUCACUACAUCAACAUUCGGCAUUUAGCAGGCAUCAGCAUGCUUCUGCAGGUGUAAUUUCAAGGUAUCACCAUGGCAAGAUCCUCUUUGUUGAUAACCAGGAACGUGAGAAUUGUUUCGAUGCUGAAAACUCUGAAGUGAGCACUGUGAAGUAUGAUAUGCACUUGACGCUGGAUCAUUGCACUACCCCAUUGAGUUCGAAUAUGAUUCUGCUAACUCUGAUGUAGCGCCAGCAUGUAGAAGCUACAACAUCUACGCUGAUGUUCGUAACCUUCGUUCCUGGUUUAUCACCUGUGUAAGUUCCCGAAAAUUGGUAGGCAACGCGCUGGUUCUGUUCAUGUUCUUGCUGCCCAGGCACAUCAGAUUAGAAUUAGUAAUCUAUCUAUGGAUGGGGCAUGUCCCUCCAUUGUUGAGUUGGUUUGUAAUGACUCUGUAAUUGAUUUCGUAUGACUAAAGCAAAAUGGUCUGUGCUCC